rnacentral:rRNA from 1 species
GAUGAACGCUGGCGGCGUGCUUAACACAUGCAAGUCGAACGGGAUCCAAGGGGUCCUUGCACUUUUUGGUUAGAGUGGCGCACGUGUGAGUAACACGUGAGUAACCUCUCCUUUUCUUUGGUAUAAUCAUUCGACAGGGUCUUUAAUACCUUAUGUUCUGUCUGCCUCUCAUUGGGUGGUUGGGAAAGGCUUUGCCCGGAUUUGGGUGGGCUCCCGGUCUAUCUUCUUGUUGGUGUGGUGAUGGCUAAUCAAGGCUUUGCCGGGUAGCCGGUCUGAGAGGGUGGUCGGACAGAUUGGGAGUGAGAAACGGCCCAGAAUCCUGCGGGAGGCAGCAGUGGGGGAUAGUGGAAAAUGGGAGAAAGCAAGAUGGAGCGAGGCAGAGUGGGGGAUGAAGGCUUUAGGGUUGUAAACUUCUAUUGAUAUGAGCAAGGGAUGCCAGUGAGUGUGUGAAGGGAAGGGGUUGAUAAGCGCCGGCUAACUACGUG